rnacentral:rRNA from 1 species
UACAGAGGUCCCAAGCGUUGUUCGGAUUCACUGGGCGUAAAGGGUGCGUAGGCGGUCGGGUAAGUCUGACGUGAAAUCUUCAAGCUUAACUUGGAAACUGCGUCGGAUACUAUUCGGCUAGAGGAAUGGAGGGGAGACUGGAAUACUUGGUGUAGCAGUGAAAUGCGUAGAGAUCAUGAGGAAGACCAGUGGCGAAGGCGGGUCUCUGGACAGUUCCUGACGCUGGGGCACGAAGGCCAGGGGAGCAAACGGG